UACGUAGGGUGCGAGCGUUGUCCGGAAUUAUUGGGCGUAAAGAGCUCGUAGGCGGUUUGUUGCGUCGGCCGUGAAAACCUGCAGCUUAACUGUGGGCCUGCGGCCGAUACGGGCAGACUUGAGUUCGGUAGGGGAGACUGGAAUUCCUGGUGUAGCGGUGAAAUGCGCAGAUAUCAGGAGGAACACCGGUGGCGAAGGCGGGUCUCUGGGCCGAUACUGACGCUGAUGCGCGAAAGCUAGGGGAGCAAACAGG
rnacentral:rRNA from 1 species